UAGCAGAAGCAUUUUGUUAAUGUUUUACUCUUUUCAAUGACAGUUUAUUCUGGGGUUUUUACUCACUUGGAAACGUUUUGUUGUCGGAUUUAAGCAGGGAAACUGUACUGGAGGAAUUUUUAUGAAGGUGAAUCACACAAACACAGUUGUUUGCAUGUGCUGAAGUGCUAAUGGAUGGCUGUUGUUCAUCACACAUCUUAUAAACUUAUAAACAAACAAUAUGUAAAAAUUACAAAUCCCAAGUAGUCUAUUUACUAAAUGAUGAAGGCAGGUGAAUGUCACAAUUUUUUUGUUUAGAUUAAAUGUAAUCCUUUUAGAUAAUCAUAAGACAAAUCGAGUUAUUUUAACCAAAUUUCAACUUGCAUUUGACUCCAGCCUGGUUGUCUGUUGAAAUCAGCCAAGUUUUCAUGUAACAUUGCUGACCGGACUAGUCACAGAUCACACAAACAGUCAAAUUCCCGUUGAUCCAGUUCCCCUCAUUAAAAACAAGGGGAAUCCAUAACUUUAAGACUUCAGACCCCUAACUCAUCCUAACACUAUCUCCGACUCACCUUAUCACUGCUUUAUCUACCAGCCCUAAAUCUUCCCCCAAAUUCUACUCUUAUCUAAAGAAACAAAAACAAAUAGAAGUAAAACCACUGUUAAUAUGCACAGCACCCUGUGUUAGGGUGGAAGGAAACAUUUUUUUUUACAUAUACUUAGCAGUAUCAGACAAUAUUCAAUAGUACAGGAAUACUGUUUCUAAAAAGAAAUAGAUAAAAAAAAAAUACAUAGUGUAAUCUAUUUCAAUACAAUGUAUAAUGGAUGUAUGGUUAAACUCACAAGUAUGGCGCUGUGCCAGGCUCUAUGUGAAUAGCCUCAAGGUGCCAGUACUGGCUUCGGUAGGUGUCAACAGGUAAGGCAGGCAGGUGGAGAGUAUUAUUCAAAAACAAUUUAUUGAAAGAUAGAAAAUCUGAACAUAAAUAAAGCAGUGUGUAAUAAGCAAAUAUACACUACCGCACAAAGUCCUUGUAAUACAGCAAUAAAAAAUACAGCAUCAUUGUAAUACACAAUAAAAAAAUACAGCAGUCUUCUAAUACAGAAAUAAGAAACACAGCAUCCUUGUAAUACAGCAAUAAAAAUCUAUCUAAAGGCAUAUUUUCUUUUCUUUGCAGCAAUGAAAUUUGGCGACUGUUUAGUCUGUAAUCAAUAAAGGUGUUUUCAAAUUAA